UGGGGAAUAUUGGACAAUGGGCGCAAGCCUGAUCCAGCCAUGCCGCGUGAGUGAUGAAAGGCCCCUAGGGGUUGUAAAAGCUCUUUUCGCCAGGGACGAUAAUGACGGUACCUGGAUAAGAAGCCCCGGCUAACUUCGUGCCAGCAGCCGCGGUAAUACGAAGGGGGCUAGCGUUGUUCGGAAUCACUGGGCGUAAAGCGCACGUAGGCGGAUCUUUAAGUCAGGGGAUGAAAUCCCGAGGCUCAACCUCGGAACUGCCUUUGAUACUGGAGGUCUCGAGUCCGGGAGAGGUGAGUGGAACUGCGAGUGUAGAGGUGAAAUUCGUAGAUAUUCGCAAGAACACCAGUGGCGAAGGCGGCUCACUGGCCCGGUACUGACGCUGAGGUGCGAAAAGCGUGGGGAGCAAACAGGAUUAGAUACCCUGGUAGUCCACG
rnacentral:rRNA from 1 species